UGCAGUCGAGCGGACGGAUGGGAGCUUGCUCCCUGAAGUCAGCGGCGGACGGGUGAGUAACACGUGGGCAACCUGCCUGUAAGACUGGGAUAACUUCGGGAAACCGGAGCUAAUACCGGAUAAUGCACAGCCUCUCAUGAGGCUAUGCUGAAAGAUGGUUUCGGCUAUCACUUACAGAUGGGCCCGCGGCGCAUUAGCUAGUUGGUGAGGUAACGGCUCACCAAGGCAACGAUGCGUAGCCGACCUGAGAGGGUGAUCGGCCACACUGGGACUGAGACACGGCCCAGACUCCUACGGGAGGCAGCAGUAGGGAAUCUUCCGCAAUGGACGAAAGUCUGACGGAGCAACGCCGCGUGAGUGAUGAAGGUUUUCGGAUCGUAAAACUCUGUUGUCAGGGAAGAACAAGUGCCGGAGUAACUGCCGGCACCUUGACGGUACCUGACCAGAAAGCCACGGCUAACUACGUGCCAGCAGCCGCGGUAAUACGUAGGUGGCAAGCGUUGUCCGGAAUUAUUGGGCGUAAAGCGCGCGCAGGCGGUCUCUUAAGUCUGAUGUGAAAGCCCACGGCUCAACCGUGGAGGGUCAUUGGAAACUGGGGGACUUGAGUGCAGAAGAGGAAAGUGGAAUUCCACGUGUAGCGGUGAAAUGCGUAGAGAUGUGGAGGAACACCAGUGGCGAA
rnacentral:rRNA from 1 species